GGCCGGGUAGCUCAGGAGGUAAGAGCACUCGCCCUGUAAGCGAGGGGUCCCGGGUUCGAUUCCUGGUCUGUCUG
rnacentral:tRNA from 1 species